GUUUACUGGUCACCUGCACUAAGGGCCUGAGAGAAAAGGACACUGAAUAUCAUAGAGAGAUGCAUAGGUGUUACACUCAGAAAGAGAAUGAACAACUAGAAGAUGUGGAAGGCAAGCUUUUUAGUAUUAAGAGGGCUUAGAAUAUAAACUGACACCUUGAAGAAGUGAUCAUCUUGUAAUCAACACUUUAUUCUAAGGAUAACAGAGAUAAAUGAUAUAAGGAUCUCUGUUUCUUAAUGGCAUUGUCGAGCCCCAAACUUUCUACUGCUAGAUAUUUUAUUGCAUGAAAUAAAUAAACCUUAGUUGCUUAAAAUA